AUUGAACGCUGGCGGCAUGCCUUACACAUGCAAGUCGAACGGCAGCACGGGGCAACCUGGUGGCGAGUGGCGAACGGGUGAGUAAUGCAUCGGAACGUACCUUUCAGUGGGGGAUAACGUAGCGAAAGUUACGCUAAUACCGCAUAUUCUGUGAGCAGGAAAGCAGGGGAUCGCAAGACCUUGCGCUGAUUGAGCGGCCGAUGUCAGAUUAGCUAGUUGGUGAGGUAAAGGCUCACCAAGGCGACGAUCUGUAGCGGGUCUGAGAGGAUGAUCCGCCACACUGGAACUGAGACACGGUCCAGACUCCUACGGGAGGCAGCAGUGGGGAAUAUUGGACAAUGGGGGCAACCCUGAUUCAGCAAUACCGCGUGUGUGAAGAAGGCCUUAGGGUUGUAAAGCACUUUAGUUGGGGAAGAAGGAUAGUUGUUUAAGAGAUGAUUAUUUUGACGGUACCCAAAGAAUAAGCACCGGCUAACUCUGUGCCAGCCGCCGCCGUAACAC
rnacentral:rRNA from 1 species